rnacentral:lncRNA from 1 species
AUUUUUUUUGUUUUUGCUUUAGAGCAAUUCACUCUGCUGUUGAAUAUUAAUCUCUCCAAAAAAAAAAAAUAUUUGAAGAAAUUUUAUUUUUAUUUUUUUGAAAUCUGAAAUGAGAAAAAUUGGCCCCGCUCCCCUCCAUUUUUUUUUACCUCCUCCUUUCCCUUAUUCCAAAAAUGAUCUCAAUUCAAAUUUUUAAUGGAGUUUUCAACAAUGACUACUCAUUUAAAU